rnacentral:rRNA from 1 species
UACGUAGGUGGCCCGCGUUAUCCGGAAUUACUGGGCGUAAAGCGCACGCAGGCGGUCUUUUAAGUUUGACGUGAAAGCUCUCGGCUUAACUGGGCGAGGUCGUUGAAUACUGGGAGACUUGAGGAAAUGAGAGGGGUGUAGAAUUCCCGGUGUAGUGGUGGAAUGCGUAGAUAUCGGGGGGAAUACCAGUGGCGAAAGCGGCACCCUAGCAUUGUUCUGACGCUCAUGUGCGAAAGCGUGGGGAGCGAACGGG